CCUACGGGAGGCAGCAGUGGGGAAUAUUGGACAAUGGGCGAAAGCCUGAUCCAGCCAUGCCGCGUGUGUGAAGAAGGUCUUCGGAUUGUAAAGCACUUUAAGUUGGGAGGAAGGGCAGUAAGCUAAUACCUUGCUGUUUUGACGUUACCGGGGGGAAUAAGCACCGGCUAACUCUGUGCCAGCAGCCGCGGUAAUACAGAGGGUGCAAGCGUUAAUCGGAAUUACUGGGCGUAAAGCGCGCGUAGGUGGUUCGUUAAGUUGGAGGUGAAAUCCCCGGGCUCAACCUGGGAACUGCAUCCAAAACUGGCGAGCUAGAGUAUGGUAGAGGGUGGUGGAAUUUCCUGUGUAGCGGUGAAAUGCGUAGAUAUAGGAAGGAACACCAGUGGCGAAGGCGACCACCUGGACUGAUACUGACACUGAGGUGCGAAAGCGUGGGGAGCGAACGGGAUUAGAUACCCUGGUAGUCCACGCCGUAAACGAUGUCGACUA
rnacentral:rRNA from 1 species